rnacentral:rRNA from 1 species
CAGCGCCACGAGUGGCAAUCGUGUAUUUGGCCUAAAGCGUCCGCAGCUGGCGUUGUAAAUCCUUUGUGAAAUCGUUGGGCUUAACCUAACGGCGUGCAGAGGACACUGCAAUGCUUGAGACCGGGAGGAGUCGGAGGUAUUCCUGGGGGAGCGGUAAAAUGCUAUAAUCCCAGGAGGACCGCCAGUGGCGAAGGCGUCUGACUAGAACGGAUCUGACAGUGAGGGACGAAAGCCAGGGGAGCGAACCGGAUUAGAUACCCGAGUAGUCC